UGGGAUGCAAAGGAGGUUUUCAGGGAUAAGCACCAAACAAGCUGAGAAACACAGCGAGAAGAUUAAUGCACUUACAGACUCCCCCGCAAUGCAUCUUGGGCAAGGCUGGGCCCAGCUCUUUCCACAGUCCUGAGGAACCUAUUUAACAAAUCACAGCCGCAGGACAUCGACAAAGAAUGGAAAGAAAUUACAACACUGGAAAUGCGCCACUUAUCCCUAGGAAUCAAAAGCUGGGAAAAGGGAUCUUGGAUCAACUCAGAUGAAACCAGAAAAAAACAUCAAUUCGACGUGAGCCCAGGAAUCUCAGUCACACAUCAAUCUCUCCUCAAUGACAGCACCACUGCAUAUCUGGAUGCUCAAGUCACAACCCUGGGAGUCACCUGGACUCCUCCCUUUACGUUUCCUUCCACAUCCACUCCACCAGCAAGAUCUGACAGUUCUUCCUCCAAAAUAUACAGCCAAGUCUGUGUACUGUCACCAUCUCACUCCUGUUUGAACCUCUGUCGCCUCUCACGAUCUAUUUAUUCCUGGCCUCCCCUCUGACCACUAACCCUUUCAUUUCCCACAAAGCUGCUCUGUGGAAAGAGUUAGCUCUUUAAAUGUCAGUAUGAUCGUGUCAUUCUACUAUUUACUUCCCACUGUCUGGAGGACAACACCCAGGGAGUGGUGAAGCCACGGACCAAAGGAAACUGGGUCCUUGGAUGUCUUU